rnacentral:lncRNA from 1 species
UUCUUCUUGUUUGGGUAGCUGAGACCUAUCAGAAGUGCUUCAGGGGCCAUAAGGCUCUGCUGGAAGGAAUUGCCAGAUGCAAGCCCUAGAUGCUGCUGAAUGCCCUGAAGCCCAGGGGCCCAGCAACCCAGUAGUCAGCCAGCACCUGCCAGACUCUGACUCCUCUGUAGAUUAAUUGCAAAUCAUGGAGAAUAUCACAAAAUAAAUCACACAAUAA